UUGUACUUAUGAGCAAGCUUAAGCAGCUGGCAGGAGGUACUUUGAGCACCAUGUGAGAUCUCUUUUGGGGUGAGUGUCCUCCAAGCUCCCUGAACACUGCUACAAGCUCCUUUAGCACCCUUUACCCACGCCCCCAUUGGUCCCAAGAAAGCAUUUCUUCUAAACAGCAGUUCCUGAUUGUCUGACAUUAUCUGUACCAGCAAUCCUUGGUCUCUCAGGCAGUCCUUAGUUAGGUCCUUCUGCAGGAGAUGCUUUUGAGGCUGUCUCGCCCCCCCACCCACCCCCCAGCGUUUACACAGAGGUGGCCCUACCGUUCCUGCUACAUGUCCACCCUUUUGUUUUUAGGUUUUGACAGCCUAGUAGGAACUGGGGUGCCAUUGCCUUGACAUUGUUGACCCUACCACAGAGGAUUCCCAAUAUUCUGGACUAUGUAUGUCUUGGGUUGUCCUGUCUUCCAGGAUCUUACCUGUCAUUGACUACCAGCCCUCAAAGAGCUAUCAGUCCGGAGGCAUGACACACAAGGGACAGCCUACAUGGUGGUCUCAUGGAUCUUUGCCAUCCGUGCUUUGAUCAUUUUCUUGGGGGGAGGGGGAACGCAAUCAGGACUUUCGAGAGCCAUCAUUGGCACCUGGAGGGCCACCUUAUUUAUGGAACACUGCCUGCAGAUAUGCUGUGUGAGACACUUAAAAUAAUUAUUAGUAUGACCAUUUCUCCCAUCAUAGCAUAAGUAGCUAUCCACGAGGGGUCAAACAGCCUCUUAAUUGUCCCAUACUUUUCCCAAGAAUCCGGAAUCUAGGAAGAGCACAGAUACCCUGGUCGCAUUGAGGUCGCAUCAUGCCUAACAUGAUGCCAUAGGUUAGAUUACCAUGAAAGUCCCCGAUGGUCAUAUUGUGUAACCACAAUACAAAGGCCAACAGAGGUAAAGGCCAUCAGUGGUAAAGCAGAGAAUUUCCUCUGUGGGCCAGGUGCCUUCUAUUCGUCGUGUAGGAGUGACUAAGUCCCUGAGGGGCAAACCCAAAUUCACACUGGAAGAGAAAAGGCCAGGGUAGGCCAGGGAGUUAACUGCUAACGGCAAAAGAAUGGACGGCAAGAGCACCAAAGCCCAGAGCUCCUCGGCCCUCCCAGGCUGAAGAAAAAUUAAUAAAAACAGUAUGUACAUUAUUUCUCUCAGUCCUGGACUACUUCUGGCUCCUUCAUCGCCCCCUGGUCUAUGGCCGGUAAGCAUAUCAAAAGUAAUGCUAAGGUUAUAUUCCAAAUUAAUCCUAGCCUGAUUCUCAGCCAAGUCAUGAUAUGCAGACCUCCAAUUAAGAAACAUGGUGGGGUUGAGCACUGCCUUAAGGAGAUUAGAACAAUCAUAAUAGGUCUGGAUACUUGUUCAAAAUAAGGGGAAUCUGGGCCAGAAUCGUUGGCAGCUUUUCUGGUCAGUGCCAAGUCGGCCAGAGGAGUGGGAAUCCAGGGCCUAAGUCUCCGCAUCGGGGCUCAAAGGCCUUAUGCCUGGACGGUGUACCCAGGAUGGGGAAGGCGUUCAGAAGCCGAACCCUGGUACCACCACUUGGGAGACCAGCCCCUAUGUCAGGUACCAGGAUAAAUCCAGACCAAAAGUGAAAAUGAGCAAAGAGAGAAAUGAUAGCCUCUGUAUACUCACCUAGACAAAG
rnacentral:lncRNA from 1 species